rnacentral:rRNA from 1 species
GAGAAGCUUGCUUCUUGGGUGGCGAGUGGCGAACGGGUGAGUAACAUAUCGGAACGUACCGAGCAGUGGGGGAUAACUAAUCGAAAGAUUAGCUAAUACCGCAUAUAUUCUGAGGAAGAAAGCAGGGGACCAUUUGGCCUUGCGCUGUUUGAGCGGCCGAUAUCUGAUUAGCUAGUUGGUGGGGUAAAGGCCUACCAAGGCGACGAUCAGUAGCGGGUCUGAGAGGAUGAUCCGCCACACUGGGACUGAGACACGGCCCAGACUCCUACGGGAGGCAGCAGUGGGGAAUUUUGGACAAUGGGCGCAAGCCUGAUCCAGCCAUGCCGCGUGUCUGAAGAAGGCCUUCGGGUUGUAAAGGACUUUUGUCAGGGAAGAAAAGGACAGGGUUAAUACCCCUGUCUGAUGACGUACCUGAAGAAUAG